rnacentral:tRNA from 1 species
GGGCCCGUGGCCUAGUUCGGAUCAUGGCGGUGGCCUUCGGAGCCACAGGACCUGGGUUCGAAUCCCAGCGGGCCCGCCA